rnacentral:tRNA from 1 species
CCUGGUGACUCAGUUGGUAAAGAAUCUGCCUGCAAUGCAGGAGACUCAGGGUUCAAUCCCUGCGUCAGGA